AGAUUCUGGCAAAGAAGGGCGUGCUGGUCCUACCGGACAUCAUGGCCAACUCCGGUGGAGUGAUAGUGAGCUGCUUCGAGUGGGCCGCUGGGCGUCCAAGAGGCACUUGACCUUGCUGGAUCACGCUGUCAUCGGCGUAAUCCAGGCCGGAUCUGUGGAGAGCCCGGCGCAGCACCGUCACAGAUUGAUAAGGGCCGGAGCUUCAAUGACAAAUCCACUAUAUUCAGCACACAGCCCAACUCAGCAGGCACGAGCCAUGUCGACAGUCGGGGUGGCACUCGAGUGCAUGCUCGCCUUGACAGUCAUCAAGGUCGCAAUAGAGUCGGUGGAGGUUGUGCUCGGCGACGCUGAGAGAGAGUCUAUCAAGCAUAAGUCCAUGUUGUUGUGGCUGAAGCGACUUAUGGAUGCCGACAUGCUUGAAGAUUUUGAAGAUGAAACCGACCUCAACCUGUGGGCAGCCACUGUGAAGAAGAUUAAGAUGCCACAUAACAUGAGAUCGAUGCAAAAGCGCAUAGAAAAGAUAAAAGAGGACCGUGAGGACCGGCAAGGUCCCGACAUCCAGGAUACAGCAGGAUAUGUGGAGGAGGCAGAAAUCAUCUGGAGGACUGAUGAUUGCAUAUAUUGGAGCAGCAGUUAUUUCCCCCUCCUUUUGACUACAGUGGUUGGAGUCAGUAGGUAGUGAUUAGAGUAAGUAGGAGAGGCUGGCAUUUGACAAUACGGUUCUGUGUGUGCAUUGAUUGCUGGUGCUGCAACCUGUAAUUUCCUUGUGGAGUGGACCGAAGUAAUCCAUCAAGCUAGCUGCAUUAUUGAUUCUGUUCCUUUUGCUGGCGAGGUCUCCAACUACCCUUUUGAGGUCUCCAACUUCGUCCUCCAGCUUGGACAACCUAGGUUGAGUGGCAAUUUUACCCCUUAUGUUUAUCACGUCCUCGGUCACGGUGAUUAUUCUUUUAUCUAAUUUGUGCUCUACUUCUACAACUUGUUUGACCAACUUUUUCUCUUGUUCUGCAAAUAGAUCGUUCUGUGUUUGAAGUAUCAUGUCCAUCUGCAUAAAAGAAAUGUCAACUCGUUUUGUUCGAAGAAAAAUAAGUAUGGUUCGUUGUGACCUUUGUUGUGUUAUUGAAAAGGAUGUGUCUUCUAGCAACUUACUUGUUGGCUACUCAUAGUUUGACCUCGUGGUUGUGGUCGAUAGAUAGCAUCUUCAUGCGCAUGUGUACCUUUCUUGGUAUGCUGGUCAUUUGUAAUGUUGGUUGGCUCCAGAUCGCCAAUGCUCAUGACAACCUUUGAAAAGAUAUAUAGAAUCAGUACUAAGAAAUAAAUAUAGUAAAUAAAUAAGUCAAGUCUAGAAAGGUAUCAAUCCAUUGUAUAGGCCUCCUUUAUCAUAAGCCUCGGUUCUUAUUUUACCUGUGGCUUCAUCCCACCGUGCCAUCAGCGGACGGGGUAUACGAGAAUACAAAAUCGAUCCAGCACGGACAUGUUCCCAAUACCAAAACUAUAGGAAACAUUAGUUCAUCAAUGAUACAGAUAUAUGCAUCAUACGAAAAAUAGACGAAUGACAACUAGCAUCGUAGCACUUACUUGGAGCAAAGCUAGAUUUCCUUGUAGAUUGACUUGAUCCUUAUAAUUAAAAGUAUUGAUGGAUGUUAUCAAAUGGUUCAGUGUGAAACAUCCCCAGUUAAAUUUGGGAAUUCUUGCGACGUCUUCAACAAGGACGAAAUAUUUGGAGUCGACAUAAUCCUGUACCGUGGGUGCUAAAAUAAUGCCAAUAGCAUACAAAACAAACCUCCUGAUGAAAUGAUCAUCUGGAGUUUUGGAGGCUUUAAUUUUGUACUCAAGGUCACUCAGCUUAUGUCUUCCAUCUGUUUGAUAAGCCCUUAACAAGUUUGCGUCUUUUGGUUUUCCCAUUUCCAUAUAUAUAUUUUCCCCCUCUAUUGGAAGGUCCAUUAAUUGAUAGACAUCCGUUGGAGUUAUAGAAAUGUCCUUACAAGCAAUGUGAAUACUCUGCAUGUCGUGGAUGUAGCUCUUUGCUAGCAGCACCAACAUAAUACGUCGGAGGGACACUGACUUCAUCUUUGUUAGCCCUCCAAGACCAGUUUGAGUGCAGAUGACCUUUAGGUGCUUGUCAUCUAAUCCAUCGAUCAUUUGCGCGAACCUUAUCGGUGAGCACAUUAACCUCAUAUGUGCAUGUUUCACACUGAGUUCGUCCAAAAAAGCCUGAAAUACGUGUAAAGGUAAAAGAACUAUGUGUUUUCAAAGAUUUUAACCUAACUGGGUAAAAAUAUACCUGAUUGGUUACGUCUGGUAAUUGUGCGUAUGCACAACUUGUAGGAGAACUGGCCAUUCCUGGAAAAUAUGCACAAACAGAGACUGGGUCAAUUUAGAGAAUAAACAUAAGCUAUGGGGUUGUACCAUACUGUAAUUGUUCCACCUGUUUCUUUCAGAGCACAAAAUUACUAUGAUAAGCUAUUUAAUUUAAUUAUUUCUUUGUUACUACCACUCCAGAGGUGUACGUUUACCACAGAUUGAUUGGUGAUUAAUGAUUACUUACUAAAUUUUCUCUAUUGUCGUUAAUGUGAACAACACGUGGUAUGUACUGCAUGAUUCUGCCAUUUGAUAUUUAUAUACAAAGUUUUUGAUUAUAUUGACCUCACUGUUGUCUAAGGGGUGUAAAAAUAUCAGGUGUUCUAACCGUGAUGCGAAUAGGUGGAUGAAGAGGAAGCAGUACCGCCGUAUUGAACAGGCCAGGAGGGUGCUGGCCGUUGGCUCUGAUCCCCUGGGUGGCUGGGUGUGGCUGGCGGCUCCAAUCGCGCCGGUCAGGAGGGUGUCGUUGGAGAGAGUUCGACGCCGGCGACGAGCAUACAGAGGUGGAUCACGAUGCUGUGGACGCCGCAAAUUUCAGAGAAAACCCAUAAGAUCUCAUGAUGGGUUCAUGCACAGAAUAAGCGGAACCCAUUUUUUGGUUUUAAAUCAUCUCAUGCGUUGCCUUAGUUGUAACUGAUGACAUGAGCCGACAUUCUUACCUUCAAUCCAACAUGUGGAUGCAGAACAAGCAGUGACGUCGUAUUCCGCAGACCGGAUGGGCGGUCGCCGGCGGCUCCGUUCCCGUGGGUGAGGACGGCGGCUCCGUUACCGCCGGUGAACAGGGCGGCGGCUCUGUUACAGCCGGUGAACAGGGCAGCCGCGUUCGAUGGGACUGACACUGGAGAAGGUCGCGUGUGAGAAGGCACCUGGAAUGGAAUAUGAGUGCAGAAUCAGCAUUGGAGCCGGCUAGGCCAGUUGGAUCGGAGGUUGUUGCAGAUAAUGGGGGAGGUGGGAGCGGAGGUUGUUGCAGAUACGGCUGUGAUAAGUGUUAAUCUAUCGACAAGCCAAAAAUUGGAUGGCGCCUUUAAAGUCGGAAAGAGGUUGAUUGAUGAAACACCAUUUCUUUUGCCACGUCUUUUUUUUGAA